AGUCGUAACAAGGUUUCCGUAGGUGAACCUGCGGAAGGAUCAUUAAUGAAAUGUUUGUCGAGAAGGGUUGUAGCUGGCCUCCAGGGGCAUGUGCACACCCUGAUCGCAUCCACCUCCCACACCUGUGCACCGCCUGUAGCUUGGGAUGAUCACGGAGCCCUGAUGGGUGACGAAUGCCCUCGUCUAUGAAUAUUCUCACACACGCUCAAAGUAUGACAGAAUGUAUAUCAUAUUGCGUCUGAUAAACGCGACAAAUACAACUUUCAACAACGGAUCUCUUGGCUCUCGCAUCGAUGAAGAACGCAGCGAAAUGCGAUAAGUAAUGUGAAUUGCAGAAUUCAGUGAAUCAUCGAAUCUUUGAACGCACCUUGCGCUCCUUGGUAUUCCGAGGAGCAUGCCUGUUUGAGUGUUAUGAAAUUCUCAACUGCCCCGGGCUCUGUGGCCUGCAGGUGAAGUUGGACUUGGAGGUAUGCUGGCGCAUGAAUGGGCUUUGUGGCCCUGCUUUGCUUGUUGNCUCCUCUCGAAUGCAUGAGCUUUCCAAUCCUUGGCAAAGUAUCGUCGAUGUGAUAAUUGUCUACGUCGCCCGAGAAAGCCGAAAGGGGAAAUCUUUGAUCACGCCAGGGUGACCUGCGUUUGACAAAUUCGACCUCAAAUCAGGUAGGACUACCCGCUGAACUUAAGCAUAUCAAUAAGCGGAGGAAAAGAAACUAACAAGGAUUCCCCUAGUAACUGCGAGUGAAGCGGGAAAAGCUCAAAUUUAAAAUCUGGCGGCCUCCGGUCGUNCGAGUUGUAGUCUGGAGAAGUGUUUUCCGUGCUGGACCGUGUACAAGUCCCUUGGAACAGGGUGUCAUAGAGGGUGAGAAUCCCGUCUUUGACACGGACUGCCAGUGCUCUGUGAUGCGCUCUCAAAGAGUCGAGUUGUUUGGGAAUGCAGCUCAAAAUGGGUGGUAAAUUCCAUCUAAAGCUAAAUACAGGCGAGAGACCGAUAGCGAACAAGUACCGUGAGGGAAAGAUGAAAAGCACUUUGGAAAGAGAGUUAAACAGUACGUGAAAUUGUUGAAAGGGAAACGCUUGAAGUCAGUCGCGUCUGCCGGGACUCAGCCUUGCUUCUGCUUGGUGCAUUUUCCGGUUGACGGGCCAGCAUCGAUUUUGACCGUUGGAAAAAGGUGGAGGGAAUGUGGCACCUUCGGGUGUGUUAUAGCCCCCCAUCGUAUGCAAUGGUUGGGAUCGAGGACCGCAGCACGCCUUUAUGGCCGGGGUUUUGCCCACGUUCGUGCUUAGGAUGCUGGCGUAAUGGCUUUAAGCGACC
rnacentral:rRNA from 1 species